CAGGAAGAGUACGAUAGGAGGAUAACAGGAAUUGAAACACAGAUAGAAGCGGACAGUUUAGAACAUGGAAUUCCCCUGGCAACCUCCACCCCAAGAUGUUUUUGUGGAUGGAUCAUGCACAAGACCAGAUGACAGGACAUACCAAACAGGUUACGCAGUGGUCAUGCUCCCAAAUCAAGUGAUAGAAGCUGAACCAAUU